rnacentral:rRNA from 1 species
AUUGAACGCUGGCGGCAGGCCUAACACAUGCAAGUCGAGCGGGGUGAUGGUGCUUGCACUAUCACUUAGCGGCGGACGGGUGAGUAAUGCUUAGGAAUCUGCCUAUUAGUGGGGGACAACAUCUCGAAAGGGAUGCUAAUACCGAAUACGUCCUACGGGAGAAAGCAGGGGAUAACUUGUGCACUUGCGCUAAUAGAUGAGCCUAAGUCGGAUUAGAUAGUUGGUGGGGUAAAGGCCUACCAAGGCGACGAUCUGUGGCGGGUCUGAGAGGAUGAUCCGCCACACUGGGACUGAGACAAGGCCCAGACUCCUACGGGAGGCAGCAGUGGGGAAUAUUGGACAAUGGGGGGAACCCUGAUCCAGCCAUGCCGCGUGUGUGAAGAAGGCCUUAUGGUUGUAGAGCACUUUAAGCGAGGAGAAGGCUCUUUUGGUUAAUACCCAAGAUGAGUGGACGUUACUCGCAGAAUAAGCACCGGCUAACUCUGUGCCAGCCGCCGCCGUAA